ensembl:lncRNA
GGUACAAAUUGUUUAACCAAAACUGCUGCAACAACAACAAUUGGUGCGCGAACUACUGCCACUGCUGUUGUUGUUGUUGUUGUUGCUGCUGUUGUUGUUGUUGUUGAUGAUGAUGUUGUUGUUGCUGCUGCUGUUGUUGUUGAACCAGUUGCUGUUGUUGCCGCAGUUGAACCGGGCGUUGUUGUUGAAGCUGUUGUAGAUGCAGUCGUUGUAUUUCUUACAGGUGUGGUGCUUGUAAGAUGUGCUGUGGUUGCGUUUGUAGGAGUAGUGAUCAUUGGUGUUGUAGCGUUCACAGGUGUAGUUGAAACUGUUGUAGACGCAGUAGUUGUAUUUGUUACAGGUGUGGUGCUUGUAAGAUGUGCUGUGGUUCCGUUUGUAGGAGUAGUGAUCAUUGGUGUUGUAGCGUUCACAGGUGUAGUUGAAGCUGUUGUAGACGCAGUAGUUGUAUUUGUUACAGGUGUGGUGCUUGUAAGAUUUGCUGUGCUUGCAUUUGUAGGGGUAGUGAUCAUUGGUGUUGUAGCAUUCACAGGUGUAGUUGAAGCUGUUGUAGAUGCAGUAGUUGUAUUUAUUACAGGUGUGGUGCUUGUAAGAUUUGCUGUGGUUGCGUUUGUAGGGGUAGUGAUCAUUGGUGUUGUAGUGUUCAUAGGUGUAGUUGAAGCUGUUGUAGACACUGUAGUUGUAUUUGUUACAGGUGUGGUGUUUGUAAGAUUUGCUGUGGUUGCGUUUGUAGGGGUAGUGAUCAUUGGUGUUGUAGUGUUCAUAGGUGUAGUUGAAGCUGUUGUAGACACUGUAGUUGUAUUUGUUACAGGUGUGGUGUUUGUAAGAUUUGCUGUGGUUGCGUUUGUAGGGGUAGUAAUCAUUGGUGUUGUAGUGUUCACAGGUGUAGUUGAAGCUGUUGUAGACACAGUAGUUGUAUUUGUUACAGGUGUGGUGCUUGUAAGAUUUUCUGUGGUUGCGUUUGUAGGGGUAGUAAUCAUUGGUGUUGUAGUGUUCACAGGUGUAGUUGAAGCUGUUGUAGACACAGUAGUUGUAUUUGUUACAGGUGUGGUGCUUGUAAGAUUUUCUGUGGUUGCGUUUGUAGGGGUAGUGAUCAUUGUAGUGUUCACAGGUGUAGUUGAAGCUGUUGUAGACACAGUAGUUGUAUUUGUUACAGGUGUGGUGCUUGUAAGAUUUUCUGUGGUUGCGUUUGUAGGGGUAGUGAUCAUUGGUGUUGUAGUGCCCACAGUUGUAGUUGAAGCCACUGUAGAUGCCAAGAAAUGAAGAGGUGGUGCUUUAACAAGCAAUUUUGAGAUAUUAUGAAUUUAAAACAUGAUCAUAUUAAAUAUUUCUUACCUGGGUCACUGACAACAACUUUGGUAAUGUUGAAGGCUGUUAUGUUUGGAGCUGCAUUGAUCAAAACAUUUGCAAUCUCAGUGUCAUUUGGCACUGAUGUAGAUGCGAACCGAAUGUCAAUGUUACUGAUGAUGGAUCCAUUUCUGCAAAAUCAAUAAACCAUAUAUUGUUUUACUUGCAUUAAUUCAUUAUGUAUUAUAUGUAGUCAUCAAACAAAAAAUAAAUUACCGGAAUCCAGUCACUUCCAUUGAGAAGUAUGAAGAAAAUGUUGUCCUGUAGAUAGGUUCAAGCUGCAGAAACACACACAUUAAAAGAUCUGUGAGUACAUAUGGUGAAUGCAUGCAUUUCACCAUGAGUUCAAGAGAGAAAACUUACUGUUGUCACUAUCAGUGAUGCUCUAUUUAUAAAUGCUGGAGAUGAUGAGUUCAGCAUGUCAGCUGUAAAUAUCUCUCCAACAGAUGUGAACUGCAACACCUUUGUUAUAACUGGCUCAGCAGUUGUAGUUGUUACAGGUGUAGAAAACAUAGGAAGAAAAAAGGAAUUGAAAUCAAAUCACUCAUCUCAAUCUUAUUUAAAGGAGUCUUUCUGAUGUUUAGCACAUUAAAUAAUUAUAUUGUUUUUUUGAGAAAGAGAGACUAAUGAAAUAAAUCACUACACAGAUGUUCAUGCUACGAACAAUAAUACAUUCUAUAUGAUAUUAAAUAUGAAUAGGUAUGUUGCCUGGUUUAAAAAUAAACCACUUCAGAA